UGACGGAGGGGGGCUAGCUGUUUAUUCAUACCUGAUUGGGCGUAAAGGGGUUAUGUAGGUGAUGAACAAAUGUUUGUUAUAAAAGGUCAAGUAACUUUCUUGACAACUUAAUUAACGGUUGAUAAAUUCGAGAUUUACGGGGUUGGCGGAAUUACUAAUGUAGAAGUAAAACGCUACGAUAUUAGUGCGAAUACCAAGAGGCGAAAGCGGCUUUCCGUUAAAAUCUGACGCUGAGAUACGUAAAAGCAUGGGGGAAUCAAACG
rnacentral:rRNA from 1 species